AUACGAAAGGUACAAGCGUUGUUCGGAUUUACUGGGCGUAAAGAGAUCGUAGGUGGUUUAUUAAGUCGGAUGUGAAAUCCCGGGGCUCAACCCCGGAACUGCAUUCGAUACUGAUAGGCUAGAGUUUGGGAGGGGUAAGCGGAAUUCCGUGUGUAGCAGUGAAAUGCGUAGAUAUACGGAGGAACACCUGAGGCGAAGGCGGCUUACUGGACCAAUACUGACACUGAGGAUCGAAAGCGUGGGUAGCAAACAGGAUUAGAAACCCUAGUAGUCC
rnacentral:rRNA from 1 species